GUUAGUGGCAGACGGGUGAGUAAUGCGUAGGAAUCUACCUAGUAGUACGGAAUAGCCAUUAGAAAUGGUGGGUAAUACUGUAUAAUCCCCGAGGGGGAAAGAUUUAUCGCUAUUAGAUGAGCCUACGUUAGAUUAGCUAGUUGGUGAGGUAAUGGCUUACCAAGGCUAUGAUCUAUAGCUGGUCUGGGAGGACGAUCAGCCACACUGGAACUGAGAUACGGUCCAGACUCCUACGGGAGGCAGCAGUGGGGAAUAUUGGACAAUGGGCGAAAGCCUGAUCCAGCUAUGCCGCGUGAGUGAAGAAGGCCUUCGGGU
rnacentral:rRNA from 1 species